GCGCUCCUAGCUCAGUUGGUAGAGCAGCUGACUCUUAAUCAGCGGGUCGUAGGUUCGAUCCCUACGGGGCGCACCA
rnacentral:tRNA from 3 species